rnacentral:lncRNA from 1 species
GAACCUCAGAGUAUCAAGACAUCAUAAAGAAUGUUAGAUGAUUCACAUGAUUAAAAAAAAAAAAGUCAGAUGAUUCAAGGGAAAUAGGUAAACUUACCAACACUAGAUAAAUUCUAGUUGGCAAAGUAGCUUGGUAUGGCAACAAAGAAUUUUCCUUCAAGGUCUAGAAGAUAGCAUUAGAGAGUUUCUAAGUCCCAAUUUGUCGAAAGUUAAAAGGAAAAAAAAUAAAGAAUGAUGAAGGAGAGAGGGAUGC